UACAGAGGGUGCAAGCGUUAAUCGGAAUUACUGGGCGUAAAGCGUGCGUAGACGGUUAUGUAAGUCGGUUGUGAAAGUCCAGGGCUCAACCCUGGGAUGCCGACCGAUACUGUCGGACUAGAGUUCGGAAGAGGCGAGUGGAAUUCCCGGUGUAGCGGUGAAAUGCGCAGAUAUCGGGAGGAACACCAAUGGCGAAGGCAGCUCGCUGGGACGUUACUGACGCUGAGACGCGAAAGCGUGGGGAGCAAACAGG
rnacentral:rRNA from 1 species